GGGUGUAGAGCUCAGUGGUAGAGUGCAUGCUCAGCAUGCAGGAGGUCCUGGAUUCAAUCCUCAGUACAUCUA
rnacentral:tRNA from 1 species